rnacentral:rRNA from 1 species
CGCGAAUCGCCCUUCGGGGUGCCCAGGCGCGAAAACUUUACAUGCUGGAAACAGCGAUAAGGGGACCUCGAGUGCCAGGAUACAAUCUUGGCUGUCGUGAUGCCUAAAAAGCAUUACAUAGCAGGGGCCGGGCAAGACCGGUGCCAGCCGCCGCGGUAACACCGGCGGCUCGAGUGGUAACCGCUAUUAUUGGGUCUAAAGGGUCUGUAGCCGGCCGGAUAAGUCUCUUGGGAAAUCCAGCACCUCAACUGUUGGGCUUCCAGGGAGAUACUGUUCGGCUCAAGGCCGGGAGAGGUGAGAGGUACUUCAGGGGUAGGGGUGAAAUCUUGUAAUCCUUGAAAGACCACCAGUGGCGAAGGCGUCUCACCAAAACGGUCCUGACGGCAAGGGACAAACGCUAGGGGCACGAACCAGAUUAUAUACCCGGGUAGUCCUAUCCGUAAACGAUACUCGCUAGGUGUCAUCCACGGUGCGACCGUGGUUGGUGCCGUAGGGAACCCGUGAAUCGAGCCACCUGGAAAGUACGGCCGCAAGGCUGAAACUUAAAGGAAUUGGCGGGAGAGCAC